rnacentral:tRNA from 1 species
GCCUGGGUGGCUCAGUGGGUUGAGCGUCUGACUUCGGCUCAGGUCAUGAUCUCGUGGUUUGUGAGUUCAAGUCUUGUGUCGGGCU